UACGUAGGGGGCUAGCGUUGUCCGGAAUCAUUGGGCGUAAAGCGCGUGUAGGCGGUCCGGUAAGUCCGCUGUGAAAGUCGGGGGCUCAACCCUCGAAAGCCGGUGGAAACUGUCGGGCUAGAGUGCGGAAGAGGCGAGUGGAAUUCCUGGUGUAGCGGUGAAAUGCGCAGAUAUCAGGAGGAACACCAAUUGCGAAGGCAGCUCGCUGGGACGUUACUGACGCUGAGACGCGAAAGCUAGGGGAGCAAACGGG
rnacentral:rRNA from 1 species